rnacentral:rRNA from 1 species
CAGCCGCCGCGGUAAUACAGAGGGUGCGAGCGUUAAUCGGAUUUACUGGGCGUAAAGCGUGCGUAGGCGGCUUCUUAAGUCGGAUGUGAAAUCCCUGAGCUUAACUUAGGAAUUGCAUUCGAUACUGGGAAGCUAGAGUAUGGGAGAGGAUGGUAGAAUUCCAGGUGUAGCGGUGAAAUGCGUAGAGAUCUGGAUGAAUACCGAUGGCGAAGGCAGCCAUCUGGCCUAAUACUGACGCUGAGGUACGAAAGCAUGGGGAGCAAACAGGAUUAGAUACCCCCGUAGUCCCUGUCUCUUAUAC